rnacentral:rRNA from 1 species
UACGUAGGGUGCGAGCGUUGUCCGGAAUUAUUGGGCGUAAAGAGCUCGUAGGCGGUUUGUCGCGUCUGCUGUGAAAACGCGAGGCUCAACCUCGCGCCUGCAGUGGGUACGGGCAGACUUGAGUUCGGUAGGGGAGACUGGAAUUCCUGGUGUAGCGGUGAAAUGCGCAGAUAUCAGGAGGAACACCGGUGGCGAAGGCGGGUCUCUGGGCCGAUACUGACGCUGAGGAGCGAAAGCGUGGGGAGCGAACAGG